CGCAGGUUAACAAGGGCCCGGAUGUGUGAGGGAACAAGGCUGUCGUCUGUAGGCGUGAAGGGCCUGUGCGGGAAGUAAGGGGACCUGGGGUGGGUGAAUCCAGAACAGGAGCUGCACACACACCCUGCACUUCCACUCGGUGACCAAGAGGUGGACACUGGAGGUGCCCGGAUGAGGAGCCUGGGAGCCAGUGGCAGGAAGAGGAGGGGGGAUGCCAUGUCAGAGCUGUCGGCCCUACCCCUGUCAUCGACAAGGUCCCAGACCUUCAGCAGCCCCAGGGCAGGAGUGACAGCUGGGUGAGGUUUGUGCCCCCAAGAGGCGACAGGAGGACAGGACCUGUGUUCCGGCAAGCAUCUCGGUCAUUGAUGACGAGAAUGACUUCUGUCCACACCCGCUGCCCCUGACCAGGCAGGCAUCGCGUCCAGGGGGCAGCGUGAGUGAGCAGGAGCCCCGGAGCCCUUCCUGGUUUCUGCUGAUUUCAGGCUACGGCAGUGUUCCUCCACUGGCUGGCCCUGCGGGGAACGGUGACCCUCUCUCCUGGGACACAGGAUAGAGUAUCCCCACUGGCAUCGAGGGGGAAGCCAACACGGACAUCGCCAAACACUAAUAGCAAGCAGAUACCCUGCCUGAGCAGCUCUGAGAACCACAAGACGUGCACCAGCGAGGGAACAUCUGGACCAACAGCUGGAGUUCUCACAACCUGAGGGUUAUUUCUCCUUGACAAACUUUGGAGGCUGUCAAUAUGGUUGUUAAAUUGCACUGCCGUCUGAAUUAUGGAAAUGAAGUUAUCUGCUUUCUGCUUGGUGUCUUUCCCUAAUUCUACACAAGACACAACCCAGAAUAUAAGCCCCAAGAAGACAAUAGUUUCUUUUCUUUUGCCUCGCUAUCCCCAGCAGUUAGUGCCUGAGAGCACAAGGCAAGCUCAACGAAUACAAACGCAGUGGAAGGAAGCAUGUCCCCCAGCGGGAGGCCCAGAGGAAGGAAGAGCAGCAGCCAUCAAUUUCCACCACGCGGUGGCAGCACCCGCCCAGGCACCAGAAGGAUCU